UGUUGUACCCAGCAUCAGGACAGUGAUUUAGUGAACAGAUAGCCUCUCCACAUUUUAUUGUUAUUUUUAAAGACAUGGAUUUUAUUCUUAGAUAUCAUUAACUCUUUGAGAAUUGAGCUUCAGAGUAAAUCUCCAAAGAGUCAGGCUAUGAAGAAAAGUGAAAGAAGGAAUAUCUGGAAAAACAGCCUGCCCCAGCCUGAAGAAUAAUCAAAGGUUAUGUGUUGUCAUCUUCUCUGGGCCUAAGGAAAUUAAAUUUAGGAAGUUGGUCUGGAGAAUGAACAUGAGGUGGACAGAGAGUACUAGAGAGUGUCAUAAGAGACAUAUGUGACCACCUAUGAAACAAUAUGGCAGCAUGAGCCAGCAGAAAGUAUAUUGGAUUGUCAAGAGGGUGUGAGAGUUCUAAGAGCUUCAGAUAGGCCCAAAGUGGUAGGAUCUUCAAGAGCUGGACUUGAUAUACCCAGUCCAUGAACAAAAAACAUCCAUGUAUUUUUAUGGCCCAUAUCCUAACAACUACCUCUUCAUGUACCCAUGUGUAAUCCCCACCAUCAUCUCUCAUUUCACAAAUAAAUUCCACAUGCAUAUGAA